GUGCCAGCCGCCGCGGUAAGACGAACCGUGCGAACGUUGUUCGGAUUCACUGGGCUUAAAGGGCGCGUAGGCGGGCACGCCAGUCGGGAGUGAAAUCCCCCGGCUCAACCGGGGAACAGCUCCCGAUACUGCGUGCCUCGAGGGGGGUAGGGGUCGACGGAACUUCCGGUGGAGCGGUGAAAUGCGUAGAUAUCGGAAGGAACGCCGGUGGCGAAAGCGGUCGACUGGACCCCUUCUGACGCUGAGGCGCGAAAGCCAGGGGAGCAAACGGGAUUAGAAACCCCAGUAGUCC
rnacentral:rRNA from 1 species